rnacentral:snRNA from 1 species
GAAUGUGAGGGCGAUCUGGCUGCAACAUCUGUCACCCCAUUGAUCGCCAGGGUUGAUUUGGCUGAUCUGGCUGGCUGGGCGGGUGUCCCCUUCCUCCCUCACUGCUCCAUGUGUGUCCCUCCCGAAGCUGCACGCUUGGUUGAAGAGGACGACCUUCCCCGCUAGAGGAGGACCGGUCUUCGGUCAAGGGUAUACGAGUAGCUGCGCUCCCCUGCUAGAACCUGAAAACUAGCUCUCAAAUAGCAGGUGUGGGGAGAGUGGGACUUGUCAGUGUGGAGCAGGCAGGCAUGAGUGCUGUGCAGCCACACUUGAUUGACAGGUGGUUUCUGCAUC